rnacentral:rRNA from 1 species
AGGACGAACGCUGGCGGCGUGCUUAACACAUGCAAGUCGAGCGGAAAGGCCCUUCGGGGUACUCGAGCGGCGAACGGGUGAGUAACACGUGAGCAACCUGCCCUUAGCUUCGGGAUAGCUCCGGGAAACCGGAAUUAAUACCGGAUAUGACUAUGGCCGACAUCAGCCAUGGUGGAAAGUUUUUCGGCUAGGGAUGGACUCGCGGCCUAUCAGCUAGUUGGUGAGGUAACGGCUCACCAAGGCGACGACGGGUAGCCGGCCUGAGAGGGCGACCGGCCACACUGGGACUGAGACACGGCCCAGACUCCUACGGGAGGCAGCAGUGGGGAAUAUUGCGCAAUGGGCGAAAGCCUGACGCAGCGACGCCGCGUGGGGGAUGAAUGCCUUCGGGUUGUAAACCCCUUUCAGCAGGGACGAAGCGAAAGUGACGGUACCUGCAGAAGAGCGCCGGCUAACUACGCGCCAGCAGCCGC